GUGGGGAAUAUUGGGCAAUGGGCGAAAGCCUGACCCAGCAACGCCGCGUGAAGGAAGAAGGUUUUCGGAUCGUAAACUUCUAUCCUUGGUGAAGAUAUGACGGUAGCCAAGAAGGAAGCCCCGGCUAACUACGUGCCAGCAGCCGCGGUAAUACGUAGGGGGCAAGCGUUGUCCGGAAUGAUUGGGCGUAAAGGGCGCGUAGGCGGCCCGGUAAGUCUGAAGUGAAAGUCCUGCUUUUAAGGUGGGAAUUGCUUUGGAUACUGUCGGGCUUGAGUGCAGGAGAGGUAAGCGGAAUUCCCGGUGUAGCGGUGAAAUGCGUAGAGAUCGGGAGGAACACCAGUGGCGAAGGCGGCUUACUGGACUGUAACUGACGCUGAGGCGCGAAAGUGUGGGGAGCAAACAGGAUUAGAAACCCGGGUAGCC
rnacentral:rRNA from 1 species